AGCUCCAAUAGCGUAUAUUAAAGUUGUUGCAGUUAAAAAGCUCGUAGUUGGAUUUGGGACUGGAGUCGUUCGGUCGGCCGCAAGGUCUGUUACUGAACGGCUCUGUCAUCACAUUCCCAGAGACCUGCCGUGUACUUAACUGUGCGCGGUACGGGAUUUGGGACGUUUACUUUGAAAAAAUUAGAGUGUUCAAAGCAGGCUUAGGCCGUUGGAUACAUUAGCAUGGAAUAAUGAGAUAGGGCCACCGCGGUCUAUUUUGUUGGUUUGCACGUUGUGGUAAUGAUUAGCAGGAACGGUUGGGGGUAUUCGUAUUCAAUUGUCAGAGGUGAAAUUCUUGGAUUUGUGGAAGACGAACUACUGCGAAAGCAUUUACCAAGGAUGUUUUCAUUAAUCAAGAACG
rnacentral:rRNA from 1 species